AGGUACCUCGAAUGCUCUUUAUAUAUUGUUGGUUUGAAAUGGAAAAGGUUGAGCUUGGGACUACAACUCCUUCUCAGUUGGAACAAUGAAUUCAGGAAUAGAUGUUUGAUGCGCAAGACACUUUGAUCUUGGAGCGGAGCAUGAAAGUGAAAGUUAGCAAGAUUUAGGUUGCCGAGAGAACUACAAGGAAGUGACAAUUGCAAGUGUUGAAAUCAUUGAGAAGAUUCACUAUAGCAAAGGCAAAACGGGAAUUGUGACUAUGUUUCACGAUUGGUGAGGAAAUAAAAACCACGAGUAUUGUUGAUGUAAGAUUGUUUCUUCUAUGUUUCACGAUUGGUGAGGAAAUAGAAACCAUGAGUAUUAUGUUAGAUUGUUCCUUUAUUAAUCUAA